UGGGUUGUGGUUCAGUGGUAGAGCGCUCACCUAGCACGUGCGAGGCCCUGGGUUUGAUCCUCAGCAUCAUAU
rnacentral:tRNA from 1 species